GGAGGGGGCUAGCGUUGUUCGGAAUUACUGGGCGUAAAGCGCGCGUAGGCGGGCUGGUUAGUUGGGGUGAAAUCCCGAGGCUCAACCUCGGAACUGCCCUCAAUACUGCCAGUCUUGAGUUCGAGAGAGGUGAGUGGAAUUCCUAGUGUAGAGGUGAAAUUCGUAGAUAUUAGGAAGAACACCAGUGGCGAAGGCGGCUCACUGGCUCGAUACUGACGCUGAGGCGCGAAAGCGUGGGGAGCAAACAGGGAUUAGAUACCCUGGUAGUCCACGCCGUAAACGAUGGGUGCUAGUUGUCAGGCAGCUUGCUGUUUUGGUUGACGCAGCUAACGCGUUAAGCACCCCCCGCCUGGGACUACGGUCGCAAGACUA
rnacentral:rRNA from 1 species